rnacentral:lncRNA from 1 species
GUGGGAAGUUUUUGCCAUUUGGGAAGCUGGCAUCCGUGUUUUGGAGGAAAGCAUUGCCUUUAUUUGAAAGUGUCUGCUGCCUCAGAUGCUGACCCUGCAGUCGAACUCGAUACUAAUGGUGAAGUGGAAGGCAUGCUGCUGGACGCCUGCCUUGCCAUAGCAGGUGCCGGUCACCUGUGACUCAGCGGUGCCCUGUGCCAGGUAUUCCCUACCCUCCUUUUAUAAUUUACUUUAUUUCCUUUCACAGUCUGGAUGAAUGCGGACGUACGCAGGCCCAGACAGAUAAAAGGAGAGUCAAGGAGAUAUAUACACAAAUACAGGGCCA